GACGAACCGAGCGAACGUUGUUCGGAAUCACUGGGCUUAAAGGGCGCGUAGGCGGGUGCUCAAGUCCGGGGUGAAAUCCCACAGCUCAACUGUGGAAUUGCCUCGGAUACUGGGUGUCUCGAGGGUGGUAGGGGUAUGCGGAACUAUCGGUGGAGCGGUGAAAUGCGUUGAUAUCAGAAGGAACGCCGGUGGCGAAAGCGACGUACUGGACCUCUUCUGACGCUGAGGCGCGAAAGCUAGGGGAGCAAACGGG
rnacentral:rRNA from 1 species